GACGAACCGAGCGAACGUUGUUCGGAAUCACUGGGCUUAAAGGGCGCGUAGGCGGGUGCUCAAGUCCGGGGGGAAAUCCUCCAGCUCAACUGGAGAACUGCCUCGGAUACUGGGUGUCUCGAGGGUGGUAGGGGUAUGCGGAACUAUCGGUGGAGCGGUGAAAUGCGUUGAUAUCGAUAGGAACUCCGGUGGCGAAGGCGGCAUACUGGACCACAUCUGACGCUGAGGCGCGAAAGCCAGGGGAGCAAACGGG
rnacentral:rRNA from 1 species